UCCGUAGGUGAACCUGCGGAAGGAUCAUUAUAGAAAGUAAACGCGGGUCAAACCGCGAACUUUUAAACCUUUGACGAUUGACUCAUGUUGCCUCGGCGGGCUCGCCCGCCAGAGGAUACAUCAAAACUCUUGUUUUAACGGUGUUGUCUGAGCUACAAGCAACGAAUCAAAACUUUCAACAACGGAUCUCUUGGUUCUGGCAUCGAUGAAGAACGCAGCGAAAUGCGAUAAGUAGUGUGAAUUGCAGAAUUCAGUGAAUCAUCGAAUCUUUGAACGCACAUUGCGCCCCUUGGUAUCCCGAGGGGCAUGCCUGUUCGAGCGUCAUUUCACCACUCAAGCCUGGCUUGGUGUUGGGCGACGUCCCCUUUGGGGACGCGCCUCGAAACGCUCGGCGGCGUGGCACCGGCUUUAAGCGUAGCAGAAUCUUUCGCUUCGAAAGUCGGGGCCCCGUUUGCCGGAAGACCUACUCGCAAGGUGACCU
rnacentral:misc_RNA from 1 species